GAGCAGCUCUCAGUUUUGCCUUCACUGCUAAUGGAUGAGUUAAAUGUUAUGAGUCUCAAUUUGUAAAGUCAUAUUAUUUGUGGAGAGGCCAUCCAUCAGAGAAUCUUGGAUAAUGGACGAAAGCUCGAUCCAGCCAUAUUGCUUGAGUGAAGAAGGGCAAUACCGUUGCAGAAAAACUUCCCCAUUGAUAAUAGUUAUGGCCAUAAAAAUAUUGGCGGGCAGAAGCAAUUUGGCUUUAUCUGUGUAUAAUUGAAUGAUAAAAUCUAUUGUGUAUUGUCUCAUGCUGUGUCUUUUUAACCUGCCAAUUGAUUUAUAUCACCAUCCUUGUACACUAAAGAUGAAAGAUACGAUGCUUCACUGAG
rnacentral:lncRNA from 1 species